UCCUCACUGCAUAUUCUGUUGUGAUUUAAUUUGACUUGUUAACAAUGGCUGUCAAUCAAUCAAACACAAGCAAAUUAAAUGUUUACUAGUAUUCCAUAUAGUGCUUGUUGUGCAGUGUAUAGUUUUGAAUGGUUCAAUUAUACAGAGCUCUUCAUGCCCAAGAUGAGAAAUUCUUGUUGUCAAUUUGUUUGAUGCCAUCAUUUUCUUACCAUCAUAUUAUAUGUGCCGCUCAACAUUCAACCUGCUUUAAUCUGUCUAGUAUUCAGUUUGUACCUCAUCUAGCACACUGCCUAAAAUUGCCACUAUUGUUUCAAUGAAAUUAGUAGAAUUACCUUGUGAUUCCUCUGUUUGCUUCAUGUUAUGGUUGCUCUACUGCUAGUGUCUUACUAGCUUGUUCUGUCUCAUCGUGUUCCUGCUUGUAGUUAAUUUUCCAUGUGCCUAAGUAUAUGAGUAGUACACGUGCAAGCAAACAUUUAAACUGAAACCCAUCCAUCCUCUGUACUAUAUUGUACUGAAGAAGUAAUGUAGAUGCAUAUACAUGCAAUUUUAUUAAGUGAAUGCCAUGCAAACAACUAACUUGCUCUUGUCCACGUAGAUGGAGUAGGAGGAUGAGCAGCAACAACAAAUGUGCCUGAUGGUGAAGAAGCACCUGAUGACCAGAACUCGUUCAAGUGCUCUUUAGUCCUUCCAAAACAAGGUCUUGAUGCCCCCCUUAUAGAAAAUGUUCAUAUAUGUUCCUGCAUGAUGCGUGUGUGCAUGUUGGAUGGUCACAUUCUAGUGUACUAGCUAGCUAGUAAGCUGGUUUUGCUACCGGAUGAUUGAAUGUCAUCUCAGUUUGUACCUCAUCUAGCUCACCACCUCAAAUUGCCAUUGAUUUGUUAGUGUUUCCUUCUUGGUUGGCUAAACAUAUCCGUUUGUUUGAUUUGGAGCAUUAGACGCUCUCCAUUGAUGAUUGCCUAAUUUUAUUCAUCAUCUCCAUAAUAUAUUCAUUUGAUUGUCUACUACAUCUCCACUUAAACACUCAUAAUGCUACUGUCCACCCUUUGUUCAAUUGGACUGACUAUAUAUCUCUUGUUAAAAUUGUGGUCUUGAUCUUUUCUUUAAACUUGGGACAUCAUGCAUAACUAGCUCUUCCUUUUCAGUCUAAACCUGAGACCUCUUUUGUUUUCAGUCACACUGUUGUUUUGCUGUGCUUGAUAAACCUGAGACUUCUUUCUAUUGUAAUAUCGAAGUUGUUUGGUUCUGGCCUCAGCAGUAGUACACCAAUAUUGAAGUUGUUCACUCUUUUACAGGAGCUCCAGGCCUAAUUUUUUGGAGUGUGAAACUGUGAAGCCAAGUGCGAAUCAGUGAAGCCCUACUUAGCAAAGAGUUUUUUGGUUCUAUAGUAGACUGUAAAUUGUAAUAUUGUAACAGAUUGUAAAAGACUAAUGUAGUGUUAUUUGAUGAAUUAUAUUUGUCCCGUCCUAUUUGAAAUAGUGAUUAUGUAUGUUGAAAAGAUGUGAAAUGGAAACUUGACCAGCGGUACCAAUUUAUGUCCCACUUAUGAAUAUAAUCUGAGAAAUUUUGAAAUUUUUGACAUGUGGGACCCAUCUGACUAGUGGGACCAGC
rnacentral:lncRNA from 1 species